UACGUAGGGGGCAAGCGUUGUCCGGAUUUAUUGGGCGUAAAGAGCGUGUAGGCGGUUAGGUAGGUCCGUUGUGAAAACUCGAGCUCAACCUCCGAGACGCCGAUGGAAACCCCCUAACCUACGUAGUCCGGAAGAGGAGAGUGGAAUUCCGUGGUGUAGCGGUGAAAUGCGCAGAUAUCAGGAAGAACACCCGUGGCUAAGGCGGCUCUCUAGUACGGUACUGACGCUGAGACGCGAAAGCGUGGGGAGCGAACAGG
rnacentral:rRNA from 1 species